rnacentral:rRNA from 1 species
GACGAACGCUGGCGGCGUGCUUAACACAUGCAAGUCGAACGGAAAGGCCCUGCUUUUGUGGGGUGCUCGAGUGGCGAACGGGUGAGUAACACGUGAGUAACCUGCCCUUGACUUUGGGAUAACUUCAGGAAACUGGGGCUAAUACCGGAUAGGAGCUCCUGCUGCAUGGUGGGGGUUGGAAAGUUUCGGCGGUUGGGGAUGGACUCGCGGCUUAUCAGCUUGUUGGUGGGGUAGUGGCUUACCAAGGCUUUGACGGGUAGCCGGCCUGAGAGGGUGACCGGCCACAUUGGGACUGAGAUACGGCCCAGACUCCUACGGGAGGCAGCAGUGGGGAAUAUUGCACAAUGGGCGGAAGCCUGAUGCAGCAACGCCGCGUGCGGGAUGACGGCCUUCGGGUUGUAAACCGCUUUCGCCUGUGACGAAGCGUGAGUGACGGUAAUGGGUAAAGAAGCAGCGGCUAAGUACGUG